GGCAGAGGGAGUCCGGUUCCCGUGGGUGUCACGAGGAAAGUCCCCCCACCGUCCGGGCAGGUGACCGGGUGCAAGCCCGGGGCGGGAGACCGUCGGCGCUGGAACAGAAACGAGACCCCUCCCCGCGACCGAUGAGGCGCGCGAACCCCGAGCGAGUAAAAGCAAAGGGGAGCUAACCCGCCGAGGGUCGUGAGAUGGCACUACCGUCUCGCACGUGCCGACGGUGUCGGUCCGUCGGUCGACGCGACGCGGGGAGAACGGAUGGAACGGCGAAUCCUCACCGGUGCAAGUCCGAACCGUCAGGUAGCCCGGACGCUGGUUCGGACGCUCAGCCGAAUACCGGACCGAACAGAAGGGGGCUUACUCCCCUCAGCC
rnacentral:RNase_P_RNA from 2 species